AAAAAGUGCUUAUAUGCUAUUUUAUAUGAAUGUUCAAUAAGUUUGUUCUUAUAACUUAGCAUAAGUUACUAACUUAGCAUAAGUGAUUAAAGUAGUUGAAGCCUUAGGCUGAGGUCAAGCUGACCUGAGAGGAAUGCUGAAGAAGCAGCUACAAAACCAGUUGAGACUACCUGUUAUCACUGAAGAUAAAAAAGAAUGCAAGGAGUAGGACUGACUGUCUCCCAGAGCAAAUCCAGCACCCGGCAACGGACUGUCCACUCAGCAACAGAACUGUCCAAUGGAAAAGAGCAGAGACCCCUACUCAAAUUAGGGAUUGGACUUUGGACAUGGGCAAGGGCAGUGUUACCAACUGUAAAGGUUUGGCAACCGCGGCAGGACUCUAGGCAACCAUCGUUGGGGCCUCUCGCCUCCAAACAUCCACUUGGCACCAAUGGGUGAGUUCACCUGGGAUCUUUGGCAGCGAGGGGCACCGAAGGGUGAGUCUUAAAUUCCCACAUUCUAAAUUCCAAAUUUAGGUUUCUGGUUAAAGUGCACUUGGAAUGGGUGUGUGGCCUGAUCAGCAUAAAGUGCAGCCCAGGACUGGUUAGAGUGCACUUGGAAAGGGUGCGUGGCCUGAUCAGCAUAAAGCGCAGCCCAAGAAAAUAUAGGUAGAGUGCACUUGGAAAGGGUGCGUGACCUGAUCAGCAUAAAGCGCAGCCCAAGGAGAAUAUAAAAUGGGUAAUUCUUUGGGAGUGGAAAACGGGACGCCCUUGUCCGAAGUGCUGGGAAAUUGGAGGAGGAUUGAUGGUACCAAGGGGCUAGGGAAAAAGAAUCUGGUACAGCUGUGUCAGAAGGACUGGCCGUUUUUAACCAACGGUGGUAAUUCUGCGGAGCAAUGGCCAGGCUUAGGGACUUUUAAUUUACAAGAAUUAACCUUUUUACGCCAACAAUUGAAAAAUAGGUUUCCUAAACAGAUGGAUUAUUGGUAUGUAUGGGACAACUGGGCUUAUGCGCGUGCGAAAGGACGUCCUCUUUCCUCCUGCUUUUCUUAUUCAUCUCAGGGGUCUCCAGCCCCGCUCUGUGCUAUGCCUGCUUCUGCCCCUCUUCCGGCUUACCCUCGGCUUUCUGACUUAUGCCCGUCACUUCCUUGCUUGUCAAUUGGCCGUGCGUUCUGUCCAGGUAACACGCCUCACAGGGGAGGACUCGGGUAGCCCUGUGAGUGAGAAUAUUUAAGAGAAGAGACCAGGAGAGCUGGGGGGCUAGUUAAAAAGCCCACCCUCCUUGUUAAAUUAGUAGUGGGAUAAAGCUGUUGCUCAUGGAAGGGACAGUUCAGAGAGAAAAACAGGAUCAGGCCCAAGCGGGCAGGCAACAGAUAGAAAGAUUGGAAAACAGGUUGGAAACUUGGAGGGCAUAGUGGAAAAGGAGGAGUAAAUAAUUACAGGAAUGGGAAACGUAAAUCCCGGAAUAAUACUUGGAAUGGUAAAAUCUAAGUUGAUUGGAUGUCGUUUUGGAAGAUAAGGAAGUGAUUUAAGAAAGGAAAGUGAGAAGUUAACUCUGUAGUUGCUGGAAAGAAUUAAGCAGUUGAACUUUGUGAAAUACUAGAAAAAAAAAAGAACUCUUGGUUUCUUUGCAGCCAUUUUUAAGGAAAAUGGGCCCUUUUCCAAAGGAAUGCAAUUAUACAGUGCUACUUAAUUAAUAUCUUAUCAGGCUCCAAGGGGCUACAAUAGGCGGUGUCUUCCUUUUCAGGUCGCUGUGUGUUUGACAGCAGGAGUUAAAAAUAAAAGGCAAUCAAAAGUCUGGUAAAGUUUAUUGUGCCCUUUUUAAAGUAAGAAUCUUUAAGCUGUGGAUCUAGAAGCAAGCCGGAAAGCAUUUGUUUUAAUGUAAAUUACCUAAAUAAUAAGGUAGAAGCCACUGAAACCUGGGCUGCCUAUGAAACAAAUACAAAAAAAUAUGUGUAAUUCCUCUGUUGUGCCUGCAAUUAACAAGAGUAUUUGUAUAAAAAGGAGAUAUUUUAAGCAAUGACUGACUGCCCAAAAGGGGUAAAUCUAUGUUCUUUUUGUCUUUCAGAAAAUCAGAGAAAACUGAUGCCAGCUGAAAAGCAAUUCAACAUCCUUUGAAUUUACUGGCACAAUAGAAAUUAUGUUCUGUGUUCUAUGUGUCCUGUCUUGUGGUGUUUGUCUUGUAGCCAGAAUUGCUGUGUUUAAUUUUUCAUAGGACAGUUUAGUUUAAAACUAAAUACAAGGGUUAAAUCAAAAUGCAGAUACUUGUUUUAUUCAACUUAGAAUACAAAGUGUUUGGAUAAUAUCAGGAAAAUGUGAUAUACUAAAGUUUAAUACAUUUGCUUAAGUAAAAAAAAAAAAAUUUCAUUGUGCAGAUCUUUUAAUUAAAAAAAAAUUGUUGUUAAAAUUCGCACACCAACUGUCAUGGAAGCAAGGACAUGAAAGGUUAACCCACUCCCUAUAUUAUACAUGGGAUCCUUCUGGCUACCUCAAAUUUCUAGCCAGAGGACUGGGGAGGGAGGAAAGCUAUUGGACACCAGAGGUUGUACCAAGUGGACUCCUCAAAAGUGGGUGUGCUUGUCCUGGCUUGUUGCUCCAAAGCUCCGCAAUAAAGUCAUUUUCCUAGAAGGGUGUAUGUGGCAUACAUUAAACAAUAAGACUAAAGUGCUGUAUAAUGGGCAAUGUAUAUGUGUUCAUUUUUAAACAAAGGUGUGUGAGUGGAAAGUGAAAGUUUCCUUUGCAGGCUAAUAGAAGCCAAGAAGGGGAGAAGAAAAAGAAUGGAGGACGAGGUAAUUCAACCCUGUAGCUGGCAGGCUUGGUCCAAAGAUAAGAUGCUGGCCUGCCCAAGGACACUACUCACAGCUAGAAUUUGGCUGACAGCCAAGAAAGAGGGAGGCUUGAAUGUGCCCAAGCAUCUGUGAGAUCUGCAAAACACUUCCAGACAUAAAAGAAAUGUGUUAGAUCUCUGUAUUUACAGGUGAAGGAAGUCCUGCUCCAAAGAUCCUGAGGAAACCUGCCAUUUGUUAAAACCAGGUGACUGGGUCUACAUAAAGGUCCAUCAACGAAAGACUACUCUGGCCCCAUGCUGGAAAGGCCCUUAUUAAGUCCUGCUAACUACCAACACCGCUGUAAAGUGCCAAGGACUGACUGCCUGGACCCAUGCUUCUUACUGCAAAAAGACCCCUCCACCUUGAAAUGACUUCACUUUGACUACUGAUCAGCCUGUCCCUCCUUCUGGGUUUUUUCUUUCCUCCUUUUGGACAGCAGGGGAAAGGACAAAGUAAAGUGCUAGUAACCUCUCCCUUGUCCACUGACAGAGCUAACCUGCAUUCAGUAUUUGCUAAAGAAACCAAAGCACUACAGGGUGACGUGCUAGUAACCUCUCCCCUGUAUAAUGCAAAACCAUGACUGCUCUAAGAGAGAAGAAGGAACGCCUGCUCUGCUGAAACCACCAAGAUCCAAGGAUUCCUGACUGCAAAAGACAUUGAAAAUUGGCCUUGGUGGGAAAGACGGAGCAUUGUACAUUGGCAGGGAGGGAGUUGCGAGAUGUAUUCUUGGGAAUGUGGAGUGAAGUGGUGAGGUGGGUUUAUUCCAGGGGCUGGAAUCUGUGCUUGUGGGCAAGUACCAUCAGAAUACACUGUCCUCCCUAAUUGUUUUCCGGAUGAUGAAUACCAAAGAUGCCUUACAGCCACAAACAUUACUUCCAUCAUCUGCCACCAUUCCUUUGCACGUAAAGGUUCCUGGAUCCAUCAUAGUUACGUUAAGUUGGCGCUGGGACCUCCACCUAACCCUGACAAGCCAUCGGACGAGCCACUUCACAAAUAAACGCCACUACCGACCGAUGGACUGAGCUUUCCAGUUAUUGGAACCUUUACAGCCCACCAGGACUUCUUGUGUUGCUGUUUAUUGGACUUACAUUGGUGGUGGUGUUUUUUUGUAUGGUAUAGAGGAGGAUGCCGACAUUGGUAUGGUUUGCCUAGGGUGUUCCAUUCUGGGGAUAGUACCACUACUAACAGGGCCAGCCAUGACAUGCAUAGGCCAUUACACUGUGAGACUUCAAAUGGUACUUAAAAAGGUUGCCUUGGAGUUAGAAGACUUGAUUAGUGGUUUGGGAUAAGCGGUAAAAACAUUAAAUAAGGAAGUGCAACAACUCAGAACGUAUUCCCUCCAAAACAGGUUGGCCUUAGACUACCUGUUAGCAUCCCAGGGAGGGGUCUGCGCUCUCAUUGGAUCCUGUUGUUAUGUGUGUGUAAAUGACAGUAGCUAUGAAGUCUAUGAGGAAGUGGUACGGGCAGAGGCCCAUGCACGAGUCGGAGCACAACGAGUCGGAGUACCUACACCGUCCCUGAAAGCGAUUGGUUGCAAACUCUCUUUUUGGGGUGGGGUUUAUCAUCAUGGCUUAGUGGUUUGUUCAGUUUAUUACUUAAGAUUUUCCUUCCUGUAUUGAUUGUACUAAUGACAUUAUGUUGUGCAGUGUCGUAUAUUAGGAAGCUUUUGCAAAAUAUGUUAAUUCAUUCUUUUCAAGGCUAUCGCAAAGUGCUCAUGCAAAGUAAAUUGUAGAAUAAGUAGGCAGGGAUGCCUACAAAAUCAAAGGGGGACUGUUAUAAAAAAGCGCUUAUAUGCUAUUUUAUAUGAAUGUUCAAUAAGUUUGUUCUUAUAACUUAGCAUAAGUUACUAAUUUAGCAUAAGUGAUUAAAGUAGUUGAAGCCUUAGGCUGAGGUCAAGCUGACCUGAGAGGAAUGCUGAAGAACCAGCUACAAAACCAGUUUAGACUGCCCGUUAUCACUGAAGAUAAAAAAGAAUGCAAGGAGUAGGACUGACUGUCUCCAGGAUCAAAUCCAGCACCCGGCAACGGACUGUCCACUCAGCAACAGAACUGUCCAAUGGAAAAGAGCAGAAACCCCUACUCAAAUUAGGGGAUUGGACUUUAGACAUGAGCAAGGGCGGUGUUACCAACUGUAAAGGGUAUAAUUGCUUGCAAUUUCUGAGGGGCAGGGUCCCUCUCCUGAGGCACCCAGCUCGAGCUGUAUUUCUGUUAACUAAUGAAAGACGCAUGUAUAGAUUAGACUCAGAAUUUAGAAGUUCGUGGGAUCCUAGAGUCAAAUCAAGCACCUAAAUUGGUGAGAGCAAGGGCUAAUUGUUUUUUCCCCUAACAGUUGUUAAAGGUCUCAAAGUAGAUUCCUGGUUCUUUGGUGGUUCUAGUGGAGGUGUCCUUGUAACUCCCACUAUGGCAUUGUCAGAAGGGCUGCACAUGCCUGAUUGGGGGCGGUGAAAAAACAUAUUACAAAACUUAGCUUUACCAUUUUUCUCACCCACACCUAUGUAUUUACUUAAAAUGCAAGACCUCAUAAAAUAACCAAACCAAUAAGCAAAAUAUAUUUACUGGGCUUCAUCCAUCCAUCAGUCACUGAUACUGGGGAAUUUUUCUUUUCAGUUGUCUCUUUCCUUUUAAGCUUGUUUACCCUCUGGUCUAAGGAUGUCAUGUUUUGACCGUACUGUGAAGCAGGCAUUAUUAUUAUAAAACACAUGAAACUGUCUAGUAAACUUAAAAAUAGAAUAUUCAUUAGGAUGAUUUUCUGUUUAAAAAGUCAUAGCUUUAAAACAAAAUAAUUCAUUUCAGGCUGUACAACAAACACAGGUUUUGAGUUUAUUUCUACCACUUUAAAAUACAUCUCAUUUUGCAGAAUAAAAACCAAACUGCUUUUAAAAAUCCACUUUUAAAAUCCAGUUUAAAACACAUUUUGCACAGUAAAAGGCCACCACACACAUCGGGCUGUCUCACAAGCAGUUGGGUUUCGGGUUCAGGUUCCGGCGUAUCCAUCAACGGCUGGGCCAAAGGGCUCCCCUCGGCCGCUCCCUCCUCCUCCUCAGAACUGUCACUGAAGUAGCGCUUUCUCUGCAGAUGUUCGAAGAUCCUCUGGGGUAAAACAAAGUCCAAAGUUCUCACGGGGGUGGUGAAGGAGUCCAUGUUUCCACGAUUUCUAAAACACAUGUUCUUCGUAAAAUAUGGCCUCUUCUGCCUGGCGCUGGGACUUAUGGGAUGAUAGUGCUGAGCUCUGACUGGCAGAGGGCGCUGGGAGGAGUUCUUAGAGAGGUCACACAACCGUCUUCUGGGCGGUUCACCCUGUCCCAGAACCAGCCCUAUUUUGGUCAAAUCUGCUCUAGGGGUGGUCCUAUGUGGCUGAAACCCACUGCGAUUGGUAGAGGGUGAUAGGAGGAGUUCUUAGAGGGGUCACACAAACCACUUCCAGAUGGGUCACCCUGCCCCCCCAAACUCCCCCCAAUUGGUCAAGUCUCUUCUCGGGGUGGUCCCUAGUGGCUGAAACCCCUCCUGAUUGGUAGAGGGUGAUGGGAGGAGUUCUUAGAGGAGUCACACAACCCAAUUCCAGACAGGUCACCCUGCCCCAUAACUCACCCUGAUUGGUAAAAUCUCCUCUCGGGGUGGUCCUAUCAGGACAUAUCCCAUCCUGAUUGGUAGAGGGAAGUGGAAGGAGUUCUUAGAGGGGUCACAUGAUACACCUUGCUUCCGGUCAUGUGGUCGCCUUGACCCUGGAAGUAAUACCCCCUGGGGCGGGGCUUCUGGUGACAGGUGAGCAGGGCUUAAGGGGUAAAGGGGCAGGGUUUAAGGGGUCAAGGGGCAGGGUUAGGGUUUGAUUGACUGUAGGUCACUUAUACAACUCAAGUUUGUUUACAUUUACAGGAGAUAAUGCUGCCUUCUUCUUCCUUUACACUGUCACCAGAAAGUGAGAACAGGCAUUUGCAUGGCACUUUUGUAGCUAGCAUUUCAAGGUAUUUAAGUGCCAGAUAUGCGAAACAUUUGUAUGCCCCUUCAUGCUUCGGCCACCAUUCCGGAGGACAUGCUUUCAUGCUGGUGACGCUCGUUAAAAAAAUAAUGUGUGAAUUAAAUUUGUGACUGAAUUACUUGGGGGAAAAUUGUAUGUCCCCUGCUCUGUUUUACCAGUAUUUUGCCAUAUAUUUCAUAUUAUAGCAGUCUCGGAUUAUGACCCAGCACAUGUUGUUCAUUUUAAGAACAUUUUCACUGCAGAUCUGACAAAACACAAAGAAGGUACCAAUGAGAGAUUUCUAAAGAUUGCUGUAGCACUCGACCCAAGGUUUAAGAAUCUGAAGUGCCCUCCAAAAUCUGAGAGGAAUGAGGGUGGAGCAUGCUUUCAGAAGUCUUAAAAGAGCAACACUCCAAUGCAGAAACUACAGAACCAGAACCACCAAAAAGGAAAAUCAGCUGUUUGCUGGAGGUAUCUGACUCAGAUAAUGAAAAUGAACAUGCGUCGGUCCUCACUGCUUUGGAUCGUUAUCGAGCAGAACCCGUCAUCAGAAUGGACACAUGUCCUCUAGAUUGGUGGUUGAAGCAUGAAGGGACAUACGAAUCUUUAGUGCAUCUGGCACAUAAAUAUUUUGCAACACCAUCUACAACAGUGCCAUGUGAACACCUUCUUCUCACUUUCAGGUGACGUAAAUAAGACACGGGCAGCAUUAUCUCCUGCACAUGUAAACAAACUUGUUUGUCUGAGCGAUUGGCUGAACAAGAAGUAGAACUGAGCGGACUUGCAGGCUCUAAAAUUGUACAUUGUUUUAUUUUUGAAUGCAGGUUUUUUGUACUUCUCCAUUUGUAAUAAUUCUCCAUUUGUAAGUUCAACUUUCAUGAUAAAGAGAUUGCACUACAGUACUUGUCUUAGGUGAAUUGAAAAAUACUAUUUCUUUUGUUGUUGUUGUUUUUUACAGUGAAAAUUCGUGUAAUAAAAAUAAAUAUCAAUUGAGAACUGUACACUUUGUAUUCUGUGUUGUAAUUGAAAUCAAUAUCUUUGAAAAUGUAGAAACCAUCCAAAAUAUUUAAAUAAAUGGUAUUCUGUUAUUGUUUAA